rnacentral:misc_RNA from 1 species
AAGUCGUAACAAGGUUUCCGUAGGUGAACCUGCGGAAGGAUCAUUACAACAAGGUUCCCUGGCCCUCGAAGCUUCGGCGGAGGGGCGCUACAGCCUGACUUUAUACCCACCCUUUGCCUAUGUGUACCCCUAUUGCUUCCCUCGGCGGGUUCGCCCGCCGACAGGAACCAACUAAACCCUUUGCAUUAUACAUUUAACACUUCCGAUACAAAACUAAAUUAUUACAACUUUUAACAAUGGAUCUCUUGGUUCUG